UACGGGGGGGGCAAGCGUUGUUCGGAAUUACUGGGCGUAAAGGGCUCGUAGGCGGCCAACUAAGUCGGACGUGAAAUCCCUCGGCUUAACCGGGGAACUGCGUCCGAUACUGGAUGGCUUGAGUUUGGGAGAGGGAUGCGGAAUUCCAGGUGUAGCGGUGAAAUGCGUAGAUAUCUGGAGGAAUACCGGUGGCGAAGGCGGCAUCCUGGACCGGCAUUGACGCUGAGGAGCGAAAGCUAGGGGAGCAAACGGG
rnacentral:rRNA from 1 species